CAUCAAACCCACAAUCUUAUGGUUCCUAGUCAGAUUCAUUUCCACUGUGCCAUGACAGGAACUCUUACAUUUUUCUUCACUGCAUAUUUGUAUACUUAAUUUGAUAUUGUUUAUUUAAUGUUUAAAAAUAUAAAAUCCAAGGUCACAGGAGGUUAAAUCUCAGAAAUGGAUAUACUGGCAAAUUCUUUAAUCUCUACAUUCCUCAACUUCCUUACAUGAAAGUGAUAGCAAUAAUAUUAAUUUUAAUCAGUUGAUAUGAGGACUAAAGGAAACAAAGAACGUAAAAUGAUCAGUACAGUGCCUAGUACAUACUGAGUGCUCAAUCAUUGUGAAGUACUCUAUAAUUAUCAUGCUAUUUUCAACUCUCAUUUGUGAUUUUUGAAAAAUUUUAUCUUAGUUCAGGCUUAGAUUAGGUAGAGCUUCACCUAAUAAAUGCAUGUACUCAAUUAUCUAAGAGUUGUGAAUGUAUUUCUUCUUUCCACACUUGGAUAUUCUGUUGGACACCACAAGAAUUUCUCCUCAUUACACCUUUUCAAGUUUACAUAGCAGUAAACAGUGGACAUUUUGCUCACUCAUUCUUCUAGAUUCCAUCCUCUAUUUUGUAGAAGCAAGUCAUUUGUGAUGCUCUGGAUGAAGGUCUUUAGUUACACAAAAAAUAGAGAUGUAAAAACAAUGUCUUCCCGUCAGCAUAGGUGUAGUAACAACCUAAAGCAUGGUUUCAGUAGAUGGGUAACAUUAGGCACUAUGUCAUAGAAACAUUGCUGCUGACUGUAAUAGGAUAGUCCAAAGCAGUUCUAAGGUCUAUAUUUAUCAUCGUUUCAUUAUUUUACAAUUUCUCUUUAAAAUAUUAAAUUAAUUGUUUCCUGAGUGAAAUCUUCUGAGCUCUCUUGGGAUGUCUAGUUAACAACAGUAUACUAGCCUUGGCUUAUGUGUUGCCUUAAUUCAAAUCAAGAAUAAUUCAGACACAGGGCAGUCACCACUGGCUUGAAUCUAUCUCUGGUUUAUUAGUUUUAUGAACGGAAUGUAAGGAAGAUGGCUCAGGCCUCCAGGAAACUAGAGCGAUUCAGUGGCAACAAUGAUAAAGAGCAGAAUAAUUUUAACAUGAAAAUUAAAUUAACUUUACCAGGAGCAGGAAAAGCAACAGAGAAGAGGAAAUCCUUGACACUUCUGUGAGGUAGCCCAGAGGCUCCAACUCUUUGAAUUCAUCUCUGUAAGUGAAGCCCUGCGAUCUGUAGUAAAGAGGAGUGUCAAAGGAAAAAAAACCUGGGACAGAUUUUAGAGUUGCAUCAAAAUUAAAAGAAGAGAAAAAAAAUACAAGAUGCCUCCACGUAAAAGUGAAAAUGUGAUUUGGGUGAGUAUUGUCAUACUUUGUCAGUCAUUGCCAUAAAGUUCUCAGGGCUUUUAUCAUAAUUAAGCAUUAAAACAUUCCCUUUUCCAGGUAUCAGAAAGCAGCUAAAUCACAAAACCCAAAGGGAUGGAUUCUUGGGGGAAAAGUGUUCUCAGAACUGGAAGAAGCUAUAGCCUUCAAGUACUUUCAUAUUUCUAAUAGCUACAUCUUUUUUAAUAUGAUAAAGAAGAUUAUAAAAUCCAUGAAAAAUGUAACUUAUAGUGUAUAAUUUGUCAUUUUUUUUUCUUUUUUGUUACCUGGCUCCCCAUUAGAAUGUAACCUCUCAGAGUUCAGGGGUUUAGUUGUUUUGUUUGCUGUUUAUACCAAGAAUCAGCAUUAAGCACAAAGCAGGACUUAAGAGAAAUUGUUGUUGAAUGAACUAACUUGGUAUUUUCUCUUGUGAGUCUAAUUCCCUUAAGCACAUAUUAGUAUAUGCUGUCUUCUCAUUUUCCACUCAAUGCUCAAUGGUUUUACUAGUUCUUAACAGUCCUGUUCACAGUCCUCUAAAUCCCUGCCAUACUCAUUCUGUCAGAUGAUUUUGUUUCAAAAACCAUUUCUCAUUUUCCUGACAUGCCUUCAAGUUUUCCUGACAUCUUUACCUGUCGCCCACCCAUACAUUUUCUCAGAUGUAAAGGAGACCCUUGUAGGUGUCUAUCUCUACGCUUCAUAAAGUCUGCUAUAGCUUCUGAUUCCUUGCCCUAUCAAUUGCCCACUUUCAUUCUUGCAUUCUCCUUGUCCAUUUUCUCCAUAUCCUCUGUCUAUCCUCAAAUUCAAGUCUGCAUCGCAUGAGAACAAUGUCCUUUCUCACUCCUUUUAAUCAACUAUUCUACUUCCUCUUAUUCUUUCCUUUCUCCCACUUGUCUUAGUAUGUUUCACCAUAAACUAGGUGGUUUAUAAAGGACAAAAAUUUAUUUCUCAAAGCCCCGUAGGUUAGAAAAUCAAAGAUGAAGUUACCAGCAGAUAGCUGUGUCUGGUGAAAGCCUUCCUCCUCCUUUACACACAGCUGUUGUUUUUGCUGUGUUUUCAUGGGGUGGAAAGGGUAAGGGAACUUUCUCAGGUCUCGUUUAUAAGGGCACCAACUCCAUUCACUGAAGCUCAAGUCCCAUGACAUAAUCACCCAAAGGCCCACACUUAUUAAUACCAUCGCUUUGGGGGUAAGAAUUUAGGGAGGCAUAUAUUCAGACGACAGCACCAUCAAUAUUUAAAGCAAUAGUGUGGGCACCUUUUGUGUACUACAUACUUUUUUUUUUAUAAACAUUUGCAAUCUAACAUCUCCCCCAACACCCAUCUACUUCAAUAAAGCUUCCAUUUUCCAAAGCCAUUUCUCUUAGCUUUGAAGAGGAUGUCUGAAAUACACAUAAACUAGAUGCUAAAGAUUUGGUGCUACACUUAGAAAAAAAAUCAAGAUUUCUUUUGAUAUUUUCAAUAUAUGCUAAAAGUCAGGCCAGUGAUUCAGCAUGUUUCACUUGGUCAUGGAAGAGCCGUUGAACCAGGCUCACAGCUAAGUUCAUUCCUUUCAUCCACUACUAAUUUAUCCAAAGUUAGUUAAAAGAUGGCCAUGCCUAUAAUGACCCAGGAAGAUAAUCAUGAACACAGUGUUUCAGUGGGGGAAAUGGGCCAAUUCUAGUAUCCUAAUACAUAUGAUAAGAUGAGAUGCUUACUAUAGUAGAGUAUGCAUUGGGUGCCCUGGAGGCAAUGGAGUAUGUCACGUGAUUCAGUCUGGGAUGAGUGAGGAGGCAGCCACAGGAGGUGGUGGCCUAUGACACCAAUUUUUAAGGAUGAGUAGGAAUUAGCCAGGUGACAUAUUAAAAGAGUGAGAGAUUCAGACUAUUGCUUCUCAAACAUUGGUGUGAUCACUUGCACUUGACUAUUCAUAGCUCUUCAUUAUAUUCCCAUUACUUACAAGUAAAUUAUAAAUUCCCAAAACUAGCAUAGAGACUGCCCAUAAUGUGGUUUCAACCUGCCUUUCUAGACAUCCAAAUGUUCUCUCCAAAACCUAAAGAGCUUUUUAGCCAAUUGUGGACCAAUAUAUAGUCUGAUUAAUAAAUAUUCCUAAGAAAUAUAGUUUGGAUCAUUUCACUUUAGUUAAGAAAGUAAUUCAAAAUUUUAGUCCUAGACCUUCAGAAUUUUAUAAAAAUUCUGAGUUCCCUAAUUAUUACUCUAAUACAGUUUACACUGAAAACAAACUGGAAAUGCUAAGUUUACUACAAAGGCCAAGAACUUGCAGUGAAUCACAGUAUAAUUACCUCAUAUAAUUUUUUCAACAGAAUACAAAGUGUGCCACAGUGGAAAAUAUUGCCUAUCACUCUGGAAAGGCAAAGUUCGCUAUUACUCAAGAUAAAAACCUUCCCUUCAAGAGGGGAAGUGAAGGAACCCAGGACAAAAUAUUUACCCAAUUUACAUUCUGCCAGUUUAAAUUUUAUGCAAUGCAAUUUUGAGGCCGAUUUAAACAGAUCCUUCUCGUCAAAAUCCAAGAUCAUGCAUUCAUAUCUCCAGAUUCCUUUAUUCAAAGCACAAGUAAACACAGGUGAUUCACACAAAAGCCUGCUUAUAUGAUGUACGAACAAUAAACAGAAAGCUAUAAUCA